rnacentral:rRNA from 1 species
UACAGAGGUCCCAAGCGUUGUUCGGAUUCAUUGGGCGUAAAGGGUGCGUAGGCGGCGCGGUAAGUCGGGUGUGAAAUCUCGGAGCUUAACUCCGAAACUGCAUUCGAUACUGCCGUGCUUGAGGACUGGAGAGGAGACUGGAAUUUACGGUGUAGCGGUGAAAUGCGUAGAUAUCGUAAGGAAGACCAGUGGCGAAGACGGGUCUCUGGACAGUUCCUGACGCUGAGGCACGAAGGCCAGGGGAGCAAACGGG